UCACAAGGUUUAUACUGAAUGAACUCUAACCUUCUUGCCAUAGAGAGUGGCAUCAAGCUAACAGAGGCUCCGAGAUCGCACAGACAAUCGCUGAAAGCAAAUUCCCCAAUGGAACAUGGUAGAGUGAAAGAUCCAGGAUCUUCUAACUUCUCUUGAACAAUCCUCUUAUCAGCAGCUCGAGAUGGAGUGGCAUCACUUUCAUCAUCCGAAUCGUGAUACAUCUUGAUCCUUUUCAGUAUUAAAUUUCUCACAUCUUUGUGAGGAUCAGGAAUCAGGUUAAGAACUUCCAUUAGUGGCAUCACAGCUUCAAUCUCGUCCAACUGCUUCGCUGCAACAGAAUUGUAUCUCUCCAUCCAUGCUUUCCUGAAUGUCCACGGAAGAGCACGUGAGGGUAGUGGAGUAGGUUUGAAUCGUUUUACCAUUCUCUCGAUUAUGGCGGCCUUCUCUUCCGAGGUGGAUUGAGUGAGAUGGCGAGAACCAGCGGAAUGGUUGAAUUCAACAACAGAGACUUCAACCUGACUAGAAGCCUCCCCUUCUUGAAUAUCACUGUCCCCAGUGAUGAAAUCAGGGACAGGUCGAGUUGGUAGCUCUCGAUCAUGGCAGAUGGUGAUGGCGUGAGCGGUUGCAUACUCUUUUGGAUUCUGUAUGGACUUCCCUGGAAGUCCUGUAACUUUUGGUGCAGAGGUAGAUGCUGAUUGGCCUUCCAAGUAUCUGACUAUGGUAUUCAAUGCCUCCACUUUGGCAUUCAGGUCAUUGUAGCUGCAGUCCAGCUUAUGGUGCAAUUCAGAUAAUUUCUUAGCAAUUUCCAUUGAGCUAGAUGCUUGUCCCUGUAGCAGCUGUUGGACCAUCUGUUUCAUUUCAGCAUCAAGAGCAGUAGGACCUUGGUUUUGCUGAGGUGCAACCCAGGUGGUGGUGGUUGCUGGUAAUUUCCCUGGAAUUGUUGUUUAGGAACGAAACCUUGGUUGUAGGGAACAAAAGGUUUGUUCUGACUUUGUUGUUGCUGUGGAGGAUACACCUGAUCCUGAGGGUUAGCAACGUUGGUGCUGCGGUAGGAGUGGUUGGGAUUGUUGGUUUUGAACUUGUUGUAUCCUUUAUAGCCACCCUAGUUGUUGUUGAUGUAGCUGACUUCUUCCAACUGGUUACCCUCCCCAUCUUGGACUUGAUACUGCUCGUCAUCAACAAGGAAGUGCAGAUGCUUCUACUAGCUAAGAAGAAUCUUGUCCAGCUUGUCAUUUAGCGCUUUGAUCUCCUUCCUGUGUUUGUCAUCAGAGUCAGCUGUUCCUCUGACGGUCCUAUCAUAGUCUUCGUUGUAAUUGCCAUCUGAUUGAGCAAGGUUCUCAACCAAUUCCCAGCCUUCUUCAACAUCCUUGUUCUGGAAAUUCCCAUUGCUCGCGGUAUCCAAAAGCAUUCUGAUGCGUGGUAGGACUCCUCUGUAAAGAGUGCUGAGCAGAGAGGCUUUAGUAAAGCCAUGAUGAGGGCAUUGGUUGGUGUAACCCUUGAAACGCUCCCAUGCUUCACAGAAGCUUUCACCAGUCUUCUGUGAGAAACCAGAAAUCUCAUUUCUGAGUCUUGCAGUUCUGGCAUUGGAGAAGAACUUUGACAGAAAAGCCUUCUUACAAUCAUCCCAGGUGGUGAUUGAGUCAUGGGGCAGAUUCUUCUCCCAGAUGUGUGCUUUGUCUCCCAAGGAGAAUGGAAACAAACGGAGCUUGAAUCCGUCUUCACUGACACCAUUGAUCUUUGUUAGGUUGCAAAGCCUAUCGAAUUCAUCAAGGUGGUCGAGUGGAUCCUCCAUUGGCAAACCAUGGAAUUUGUUCCCCUGAAUCAUCGAGAUGAGACCACUCUUAAUCUCGAAGUCGUUGUUCUGGAUAGUAGGAGGUGCAAUUCCCUUCCUCUGACGGUGAUCACGUAGUGCAUCUCCAGCACCAAUGUUGGAAGGGCCAUUUUGUUGAUUCUGUUCUUCAGCCAUAACGAGUGGUUGCUGAGGUACAAGGUUGACUGUGGUUCUCCAUAUGAGUCAUUAUCUUUGUAUCUUCUAACAAGGACACACUACUUAGGCUUUUAUGAUAAGGUUGCGGUUUAAGUUCUUAUACUCAAUCAUACUCAUCACAUCAAGUCAUAUUCGACUCCAAAACACUAACCAAGCUUCUUCUUGCUUCUCCAAGCUUUGAUGGUUUAGCCGAAGUCCAUAUGAGUCUUUGUGUUUGUAUCUUCUAACAAGGAAACACUACUUAGGCUUUUAGGAUAAGAUUGCGGUUUAAGUUCUUAUACUCAAUCAUACACAUGACAUCAAGUCAUAUUCGAAUCCAAAACUCUAAGCAAGCUUCUUCUUGCUUCUCAAAGCUUUGAUGGUCUAGCCGAAGUCCAUAUGAGUCUUUGUCUUUGUAUCUUCUAACAAGAAAACACUACUUAGGCUUUUAGGAUAAGGUUGCAGUUUAAGUU
rnacentral:sRNA from 1 species